rnacentral:rRNA from 1 species
UGGGGAAUUUUGGACAAUGGGCGCAAGCCUGAUCCAGCCAUGCCGCGUGCGGGAAGAAGGCCUUCGGGUUGUAAACCGCUUUUGUCAGGGAAGAAAUCUUCUGAGUUAAUACCUCGGGAGGAUGACGGUACCUGAAGAAUAAGCACCGGCUAACUACGUGCCAGCAGCCGCGGUAAUACGUAGGGUGCAAGCGUUAAUCGGAAUUACUGGGCGUAAAGCGUGCGCAGGCGGUUUUGUAAGACAGAGGUGAAAUCCCCGGGCUCAACCUGGGAACUGCCUUUGUGACUGCAAGGCUUGAGUGCGGCAGAGGGGGAUGGAAUUCCGCGUGUAGCAGUGAAAUGCGUAGAUAUGCGGAGGAACACCGAUGGCGAAGGCAAUCCCCUGGGCCUGCACUGACGCUCAUACACGAAAGCGUGGGGAGCAAACAGGAUUAGAUACCCUGGUAGUCCACGCCCUAAACGAUGUCAACUGGUUGUUGGGAAGGUUCCUUCUCAGUAACGUAGCUAACGCGUGAAGUUGACCGCCUGGGGAGUACGGCCGCAAGGUUGAAACUUAAA